rnacentral:rRNA from 1 species
UGCCUACGGGGGGCUGCAGUCGAGAAUCUUCGGCAAUGGGCGCAAGCCUGACCGAGCGACGCCGCGUGCGGGAUGAAGGUCUUCGGAUUGUAAACCGCUGUCGGAGGGGAUGAAGUGUAUCAGGGUAAUCCCUGGUAUUUGACAAAGCCUCGGAGGAAGCACGGGCUAAGUUCGUGCCAGCAGCCGCGGUAAUACGAACUGUGCGAACGUUAUUCGGAAUCACUGGGCUUAAAGGGUGCGUAGGCGGCGGCUCAAGUCAGGUGUGAAAUCCCCCGGCUCAACCGGGGAACAGCGCUUGAAACUGGGUUGCUUGAGUGAGGCAGGGGUGUAUGGAACUUCCGGUGGAGCGGUGAAAUGUGUAGAGAUCGGAAGGAACGCCGGCGGCGAAAGCGGUACACUGGGCCUUGUCUGACGCUGAGGCACGAAAGCUAGGGGAGUGAACGGGAUUAGAUACCCCAGUAGUC